rnacentral:lncRNA from 1 species
GCCACUCGAUGGACUUACAUCAGCUUCCAAGCACACAACGACACAACAAGUUAAUAGGGAGUCGGGGACUCGAGCCUAUAACUGUCAAGCACACACUCAAACAAACAGGCAACAAAUUGCUAAGGAGUCAGGCACUCGAGCCUAGCAACUGUCAAACAACUCACACAAAAAGAAAAAAGGCGCCUGGAGAGAUCAGCUCAAUCUCCUGCCUACAUACUUCAUCUGGUAUGAAGAUCAGGGCGAUGUAGUUCCCCUACGGAGGGAUAAAGGGCUAGCCUAAC